ACAUAUUUAUAGAUUUCGGGGACUUUGUUGGUGAUUUACCACCGCCCCAUAAAGAUUGCGGCGGGAAAGGGACGCUAUUUUGUCCACAAAAUACUCGAGCCGACACAUCUGCAUUGUAAAUAACUGCCAAUCAAGUUUCGGCUACUUUAUAAUAUUCAAUGCGAAAGGAAACGCAUAGAUUUCAAUCAAUUGCCCCUAGUAUAUCAUGGGUUUCAGUUCGGUACGGUUCGGUUCGUUUGGCCUGUCUAAAUCCGUAAGUGAUUCAAUGCUGUGGUGGGGCUUUGUGAAACCGGAGAGGGCCUAUUCCCAGAAAUUCUGGUCCCGUCGCAAUUGCACUUCCAUUGUUUCAUUCCGGAAAAGCUAUAUCUUAAGUAUUGAAUACACUCACUCAACAGUGGUUUAUUUAUGAACACGAACGAAUGUAUGACUAUUUUCCUGUCCCAAAACGAAAUACUUUAAUUCAAUUCCUGCACUUUUGGAAUCUCGUAUCACGGCUGGCAACCAAUUGAUUAGGAACUCGAAAACAAUAAAUAAAAACAAGUCUGCAAUUUGGAAAGGAGUGCUCUCGAGUGGAGACUCGUGGGUUCAACAAUGUGUAUCUUUCCUGUUUCUGGCUUCUUGUGGCUAAUGGCUCGGAAAAGUUUGGAAAAAAUGGAGUGGGUGGUUAGUUGAUUUGCUGGCCGAACUACUGCGACGAUGAAAAUGCGCCUAGAUAAGUCUCAAUUGCACAAGCAUACUUGUGUGUUUAUAUGACAUAUAGUGGGUUUAGAUAAGACCCCAAAGUGCCCCUCAUUUGGUAAUUGCAUUUCGAAGCGGGAUCCCAGGAAUGCUUACGGCAUCUCCAUUUUUAUCUUUCCCUGGGGAUUAGGCAAAUUACUGAAAGCUGCGGCUGCUAAUUAAUGGGUAAAUUUUGAAUUUAUCGUGCUCGCCAUAAUUGCACGUCACCGCCCUCAUAGACCUAUAUGGUCUUCAAAUGGCGUCGCCAAAUCAGCAAUCAAUCACCAGUCAUAAGCACAUGAACAUGAUCCUCGAACGGAAACCAAGCGAAUCGGAACAUCCGCCUUUCAUACACAGCAAAAGAAAUUUCUAACCAUAUUUGGUUUAAGAAAUGUUUAUAUUUAGAUUUGUUUGCCAGCAAAAUGAUAGCCUUUGCUUUAACGCAACAUUACAUCUUGUGGUGUUGUGCUUGUACCAAACUACUUUGAAAAAAUCUUCUUGGCAUGCAAGAUAUAGGAUAUUUAUUUAUAAAAUUUCAAGUUAAUGUUGCACAAAAAUUGUUUUCAAUAUUGACAAAUUGAAAUGACGUUUUUCUGUGUGUACAGUCAGAAUUUCGAAUCGAAUGCGGAAAGAAGCAAUAGAAAAUGCAAAACAAAACAUACACAAAACAUGGCGAUGCCUUUGCCAUGUUUUUUCAGGGUCGCCAGACAGCAAGUGAAAUAGAAAUCAAACCUAUUUCCCAUUUUCCACUUCUCAGUGAGAGAGCGUAAUCGAAAUCCAAUGGAUGAGCACGAUUUCUGCAGGUUGCAGAUACAAAUGCAAAUAUAAGCGAACAAACAUAAAUCGCGUAGCCAGAAAUAUUUGCAUGAAUCGGAAGACUGUUAAGAUGAAUUUAAUGCUAAGCCUGCAUCUCGAGUUCUUGGAUGGCUGGUGGUGAUGAGGAAAAGCGACUUUGCAAAGCAAAGUGCAUAGGAAAAAUAAUAAGAUAACGGACAGAUUACGUAUACGACUCAUAAAACGGUCGACGUCGCACUGAAUUGCGACGUAAUAAAUUCUCUUUGGCCAUGACAGACGCAGCGGGGGG